AUUGAACGCUGGCGGCAGGCCUAACACAUGCAAGUCGAGCGAGCGGCGGACGGGUGAGUAAUGUCUGGGAAACUGCCUGAUGGAGGGGGAUCACUCCUGGAAACGGUAGCUAAUACCGCAUACUAUCAGAUGUGCCCCGAUGGGAUUAGCUAGUAGGUGGGGUAAUGGCUCACCUAGGCGACGAUCCCUAGCUGGUCGGAGAGGAUGACCAGCAAAACUGGAACUGAGACACGGGCCAGACGCCUACGGGAGGCAGCAGUGGGGAAUAUUGGACAAUGGGCGCAAGCCUGAUGCAGCCAUGCCGCGUGUAUGAAGAAGGCCUUCGGGUUGUAAAGUACUUUCAGCGAGGAGGCGUUACUCGCAGAAGAAGCACCGGCUAACUCCGUGCCAGCAGCCGCGGUAAUUC
rnacentral:rRNA from 1 species